rnacentral:rRNA from 1 species
GAUACUAGGUGCAGGGGAGUAUUUUUCUGUGCCGUAGCUAACGCGUUAAGUAUCCCGCCUGGGGAGUACGGUCGCAAGGCUGAAACUCAAAGAAAUUGACGGGGGCCCGCACAAGCGGUGGAGUAUGUGGUUUAAUUCGAUGCAACGCGAAGAACCUUACCCAGGCUUGACAUCCAGGGAACCUGACAGAGAUGUUGGGGUGCUCUUCGGAGAGCCCUGAGACAGGUGCUGCAUGGCUGUCGUCAGCUCGUGCCGUGAGGUGUUGGGUUUAGUCCCGCAACGAGCGCAACCCCUGUUCUUAGUUGCCAGCAGGUGAAGCUGGGCACUCUAGGGAGACCGCUUCGGUUAACGGAGAGGAAGGUGGGGACGACGUCAAGUCAUCAUGGCCCUUACGCCUGGGGCUACACACGUACUACAAUGGUAUAUACAAAGGGUUGCGAGACCGCGAGGUUAAGCUAAUCCCAGAAACUAUAUCUCAGUUCGGAUUGGAGUCUGCAACUCGACUCCAUGAAGUCGGAAUCGCUAGUAAUUCCAGAUCAGCAUGCU